UACGUAGGUGGCGAGCGUUGUUCGGAAUUAUUGGGCGUAAAGGGUUCGUAGGAUGUUUCUUAAGAUUGGUGUGAAAUCCCAAGGCUCAACCUUGGAACUGCAUUGAUGACUGAGAGACUAGAGUAUCGUAGAGGAAAGCGGAAUACCAGGUGUAGCGGUGGAAUGCGUAGAUAUCUGGUAGAACACCGACAGCGAAGGCAGCUUUCUGGGCGAAAACUGACUCUGAGGAACGAAAGCGUGGGUAGCAAACAGG
rnacentral:rRNA from 1 species